GUGCAGCAGGCGCGAAAUUUGGGCAAUGGCCGAAAGGCUGACCCAGCGACGCUGCGUGUGGGAUGAAGCCCUUCGGGGCGUAAACCACUUUUCAGAAGGACGAGGGUUCAUCCGGCGAAUACCCGGACGGAUUGACGGUACUUCUGGAAUAAGCUCUGGCUAACCCCGUGCCAGCAGCCGCGGUAAGACGGGGAGAGCAAGCGUUGCCCGGAAUCAUUGGGCUUAAAGGGGGCGUAGGCGGUUAGGUGUGUCAGACGUGUAAACUAUCGGCUCAACCGAUAGCCUGCGUUUGAAACUACCUAGCUCGAGGGCGAAGGAGGAGAGCGGAACUCCCGGUGUAGCGGUGAAAUGCGUAGAUAUCGGGGGGAACACCAGCAGCGAAGGCGGCUCUCUGGUUCGCUCCUGACGCUGAGGCCCGAAAGCCAGGGUAGCGAAGGGAAUUAGAUACCCGGGUAGUCCCUGAGACUACCAAGGCACAC
rnacentral:rRNA from 1 species